CUCCAAUGUACCUGACUCUCCCUUUGCGAAGAGUAUCUCCUCCGUGGCAGAAAUCUGUCCCUGGGGAGACACAUGCACAAGACAGGUGAUGACAACUCCGUGAGGGUGGAGAUUAUACCCCUCUCAUCAUUUCAGCAACAAGGAAAUAAAUUGGUGGCAGAGUAAGGGUGAUUUGAGAUCUGGAAGCGAGGAUCCUUUAAAAAUCCUGAAAUACACACUGCAGUCAAAGAGCAAAGCACACACCUCAGCCUGAAAUGACUGAAGAAGUAUGUCAAGUAGCAGCAGGUGGGAAAGUGGCUUUGGUUUUCAGUUUGUGAGCUCUGAAUCCACACAAAGACAAGACUGCAUUCUGAAAACCUGAAUUAAUUAUUGUCCUUACCACAAUGAGGCAGAGAAGUAUAAUCAAACUCGUUACUAUGAUAGUCACAAUUACUGCGAAGGCGAGUUUCUUCUUAUAGCCAUAUCCUGGAACUUCCUUUGUGAGCUAAAAAAAACCAAACAGAAUGAGAGCUAACUAUUCAAAACCCCAAUAUUCCAGCGGUCUUCCAUUGGUCUGUAUCCCAUUCUACCUUGGAUGCCUUUACUUCCUGCUGCUUGCUGAGAAGAUUCAGCAGUUGGCCUGUCCUGAAGAUGAGCCUGGCACAGGUCACUUGCACAUCGGCCCCAGAGCAGUCCAUCUUCAAGAUCCGGAUAACAUGAGAAAGGAACCUUCUCACAUUGUUGUCGGGGAUAAGGGACUGUAGCUGCUGGGUUAGCUGAAUUUCAAACUGAUCACCUGGGGACGAGAGCAAUGGGUCAUUGAAGCUUUUGGGCUCGGGGGACAGGUCAGUGCCCGCGUUGUUGUGUUCCCCUUUUGUCUCAGUUUGUGUAACAGUUGGCCCUAAGUCGAAUGCAGUCCCAGUGGAGUCUGCCUCAGGAGGGUGAUUGUAGUUUGUGUUUUCAGAGAUGGUGCCUUCUGGCAUGUUAGUGUUUUCCAUAAAAACGUUUUCUUUAAAGGCAUUUCUUGCA